rnacentral:lncRNA from 1 species
AGCCACAGGCCUAGAGGGAAGACCUGGGUCUAAUAUGAGAUUGACUGAUGUCCGAAUUCCAAAUCUGCAACCUACACCUUCCUGAACUUCGAUUUUUUAAACUUGUUAAAUACACUGCAGUUUUAGGUAUAAAGGGCAAUGAAGAGGCUGAAAAAUGUUUCUGGAGUUAAGCUUGUGAUAUUUGCAGUUCAAGAAUGGACAGAAAACAUGGGAAAUACAUAGUGAACAUUGAACCCUCUGGAAACCGGCCAACUGGGCAAGAGUUAAAUGGAUCAGCAUAGACCAGGAUGACCCCAUUGCCAAGCUUUCCUGAGUCCAAGAAACCGUGAAGCUCACAAUUCAGCAUGUCAGUUCUCUACAUCAACUGAAAUAACUGGUGAUGUU